UACGUAGGGGGCUAGCGUUGUCCGGAAUUACUGGGCGUAAAGGGUGCGUAGGCGGCAUUUUAAGUCAGAUGUGAAAUACCCGGGCUUAACCUGGGGGGUGCAUUUGAAACUGGGAUGCUAGAGUGCAGGAGAGGAGAGUGGAAUUCCUAGUGUAGCGGUGAAAUGCGUAGAUAUUAGGAGGAACACCAGUAGCGAAGGCGGCUCUCUGGACUGUAACUGACGCUGAGUCACGAAAGCGUGGGUAGCAAACAGGAUUAGAUACCCUGGUAGU
rnacentral:rRNA from 1 species